rnacentral:rRNA from 1 species
UGGUGACGAUAGCGAAGAGGUCCCACCUGUUCCCAUGCCGAACACAGUAGUUAAGCUCUUCAGCGCCCAUGGUAGUUGGGGAUUUCCCCUGCAAGAGUAGGACGUUGCCAG